UUUUUUUUUUGGUAGCUUUUCAUUCUUGAGUCCUUGAUUUCAGGAUGUAAAGAGUCAGUCUGAAUGAACCUUGGCUGACUGCUGUGUAUGCCAUUAAAUUCAUCAGUUAUCUUUUAUUAGAAAUCCUCUAACUUGGGAUUUCAUUGUUCUUCUUUAUGUUUAUUCAACACAUCUUCCUUUCUUUCAAGUGUUUAACAGGAAACUUUGGACCUUCUUUGAUUAUAUAUGUUUGCAUUUUGACAGCACCAGGUCUCUGGGUUGUCUUCACCUCCUCUCCUAUUUGUAUCUUCCUAGGACAAGACAUUCCAUGGUCAUCUUAUAAAAUAGUCACUUAAUGAUUCUUCAGCGCUAUGUAGACUAUGGUCACCGUGAAAGAUCCUGUAACUGCAAACAAUAGAUGACACAGACAGCAUUUUAUUUACCCUUUGUUCGACUCUGCUGUAAAUGAGUUCAGAGAGAAGAACGAACCUAUAAACCCUCUCCGUCAUGAUGGAUGACCUGCGAAAGUCCGGUAUACAAGGUUACUCUCAGGGGGGUUCCAUAGUAGAACCACACGGCAAUGUCAUCUGGUCUUUAUUUAGGACUGCAGAAGCGUCGUUUCCUGGUGCCUCAUCGAAUGAGAUGUCCUUAUCUGUGCUCCACUGAUGUGUGCCUUUAACUCCAUCACAGCACUUACGGCUUUCUUUGUUUUGCCAGGUGUGUUGUCAAUUCAAACCACCA